rnacentral:rRNA from 1 species
GUCUCUGGCCAUACCAUCCUGAAUGUGCCCAAUCUUGUCUGAUCUCGGAAGCUAAGCAGGAUUGGGACUGGGAGGGAGAAAAGAGCCUCUCUUUCUUUGUAUCUUCUUUCCACUCAAACCUAAGUCUGCAAGAGCAA